AAACAACGUGCCACGACAGAUCCUUUCCGCGAUGCCAGAGCAAAUGACUGCAGCGCUGGCUGCGCGACUCGUGGCCUCGCCUCUGAAGUACGUGCUGCUCGACAUUGACGGCGUGAUCUGGUGCGGCGGGCACGUGAUCGACCGUGUGCCAGAGACGCUGCAGUACCUGCGCGGCCAAGGCAAGCAAAUCCGCUUUCUCUCGAACAACGCGUCGCUUUCUCGCGAGCAGUUGCUGCAGAGCCUCAAGGCUAAGGGAAUCGAGGGCGUGACAAUGGAAGAGUGCUACAACAGCGCGUACACGGCGGCGCUGCGACUGAGGCAGCUGCUGGGUAAAGCAGACGUGCCUGGAGAGGAGCCGCUGGUGCACGGGAAUGUGUUCGUGAUUGGUGAGCAGGGGCUGCACGAUGAGCUGCAGCAGGUACUUGCCCCGGGGUUUAUCACUUACGGUGUGGAACUGCACGAUGCGGAGCGCGCUGGAGGCUACGACACGGAUGCGCUUGGCAGCGCGUGGCGUGUUCCGUGCCUGCCGCCGCCGCAGAAGCGCCUGGUGGUGUGCAACGGCAAGACAUGCCGCAUGGUGCAGGCCGGCACCAACAGUGCGGAGAAGAUUUCGCUCUCCGACCUGAACGCCGCUGCUGUCGUCGUUGGGCUUGACAAGCAUUUCAACAUCCUCAAGCUGGCGUACGGGUCCCUUGCUCUGCAAGGCCCACCAAAGGACCUGCGAGAGGAGUCGCACACGCCGCCUCUGUUCGUGGCCACGAACGAGGAUCCACAGCUGCCGGUCGGUCGCGAUGGCACCAUGAUCCCAGGCGCUGGAUCCAUGGUGAGCGCUCUGUGCACCGCUGUCGGAAAGCGGCCGGAUGCCGUCUGUGGGAAGCCUCACAAGGACAUGGCGAAUAUAUUGUUUGCGGCUGAGGGUAUCACGAAUCCGCGAGAGGAGUGCAUCAUGAUCGGUGACCGGCUGACCACGGAUGUGGCGUUUGGCAAUGCGGCCGGAUGCCAGAGCAUGCUAGUGCUGAGCGGCGUCGAAGGGUUGGCGGAUGUGGAGGAGGCGGAGAAGCAAGGCAAGACAGCGCUGAUGCCAAAGUACGUUGCCGAGUCUCUCGCCUGCUUCUUGCCAUCGUGAGUGAGUGGCAGCAGGAGGUGCCGUACGUCCUUUCAUGAGAACGAGGUGUAUUGCGUUUAUUUUCCUACUUGUGGUGCAGGGACGGUCUCUCAUGUUGUCCUCGUUGGUGCAGUCGUGGUUGUAGCGCACGACAGCUCAUACGGCGCCCGGGACAACCCUGGAGAAGAACGCAGAGGAGAUGUUCAUC
rnacentral:misc_RNA from 1 species